GACGAACGCUGGCGGCGUGCCUAAUACAUGCAAGUUGAACGCUUCUUUCUUAUCGAACUUCGGUUCACCAAGAAAGAGGAGUAGCGAACGGGUGAGUAACACGUGGGUAACCUGCCCAUCAGCGGGGGAUAACACUUGGAAACAGGUGCUAAUACCGCAUAAUGCUUUUUCUCACAUGAGAGAAAGCUGAAAGGCGCUUUUGCGUCACUGAUGGAUGGACCCGCGGUGCAUUAGCUAGUUGGUAGGGUAACGGCCUACCAAGGCAACGAUGCAUAGCCGACCUGAGAGGGUGAUCGGCCACACUGGGACUGAGACACGGCCCAGACUCCUACGGGAGGCAGCAGUAGGGAAUCUUCGGCAAUGGACGAAAGUCUGACCGAGCAACGCCGCGUGAGUGAAGAAGGUUUUCGGAUCGUAAAACUCUGUUGUUAGAGAAGAACAAGGAUGAGAAGAGAAUGUUCAUCCCUUGA
rnacentral:rRNA from 1 species